AGUGUCAACAGAUGGUUUCUUUCUCAUAUGGCCUCUGUUUUAAACUAAUGUGUUUCUACACAAGACUGACCUGUUUCACUCAAUUACCAACACCAACAUGGCAUGCAGGUUCCCGUUUUUGAAAUUUGUCGGUAAAUCCAGAUUAUAGUGCUCAGACAAUGUCUGGAAUAAUAGAAGUGAAACCACAGACCUACAAUCAUCGGUUGCUGCAACCACCACCAAAGCAGAACACGGAACAUUACCCCUUUCAGCAGAGAAAUAGGCAGCCGUUUAACGAACACGACAAGCAACAACAGCAACAAACACAUGCAGCUACGUUAGAACAAAUACAACAAGAAAAAAACAAACUAGAACAAGAACCACCAUUAUUGCCACUCAAUCCAUUUUAUAUGUAUCAACAACAAAAACAAAACGAAUUGUUACAGUGUACUUUAUAUGAACAAGAACAACAAAAACAAAGCCAAUCAUAUCUUCCUCAACCACAGCCACAAAAACAAUUGCAGCUACAAAAACAACCACAACCACAAUCACAAUCACAAAGGCAAAAACACUUCAGAUUACAACAGCAACAACAGAAAGAACCAUACAGGGGUGGUACAGAAUUGGACUCUUGUGGCAUCCAGCUUUUAAAUGUCAAUGAACUUCAGAGCCAAAGUUCUUGUCUUUGAAUUCAAGUUGUAAACAUUGGGUCGCUCUAAAUGUCACAAUAUAUGUAUUAGGGGUCGAAACUGAACCAAAAUGAUAAUUGAGGGGAGUCUAUAAAAUAUAAUUGAAAGAUGUUCUGUGGAAUGUGCGCGGGUGAAUGUGUGUGUGCAUGAGUGUGUGUAUGUACAUAUGUGUGUGUGUGGGUGGGCAUAUGUAUAUAUAUAUAUAUAUCUGUGUGUGUGUAUGUGUGCACAUGCAUAUAUAAACAUGUGUGGCAUGUGUACAGAUAUAUUAUUUGAAUAUCAAGGAUCAAACUGAAGACAAAGAAUAGAAUUUUCGAGUACUUCCAUUCCUACAUCAUUAUAUUGUUGGUAACUGGCAGUCAACAUCCGUUUGUCUGUGAUGGUGUAUGGAGAACUUAUCUCACCCACUGACCUCAUCGUGAAACGUCUGAGUGGUUUGCGACAUAGCACUGUUCGUCUUCUACACACUAAAUAUACUGUAAUGAACAACAAUGAAGGUAGCUAUUUGUUGUGAUAAUAUUGAGUAACGCAGAUCUUGUACGUGUGUGAUAUAAAUAUUGAAUAUUAACCGCAAAUACUGGUUGUUAAAGAGAAACUUUUGGUAGCUAACUAGCAAAGAGUAUUCACAUUUAAAAGAAAGAAUUGAAAUACAGAGAAGCAUUGAAAAAGAGAACAAAAUUGAAUAUUUACUGAUUUUUUUUUUUUUUUUUUUUUGUCACAGGGGAAUGUGUAACAAAUUUAAAACUGAAGAUAGAAUCGUGAGAACACCAGUUUAGUAUAUUUUGUGAAGAGCACUUGUAUCGUGUUUCAUCAAAGAAAUGUUUAAGUCAAAUCUAAAAACACUUAUAUGUAAGUCUACGGCAUUUAUGUGUCUUCACAUGCACACACACACACACAUAUGCAUACACACACACACACACACACACACACACAAAUAGAGGUGUCUGUGUUUUAACUUCAACUGUUCUUUCAUCAAAUAUUCUUCGCAAGUACUGAAGUUUUCAAGUUUCUGUCUUCAGCUCUAAACUUAUGAGACAGACUCUGUGUGUGUUUGUGUGUAUAUGUAUGUAUGUAUGUAUAAAUACAUGUGUACACACACAUUCAUACAGGCAACACACAUAAGCACAAACACACACACACGCACACACACACACAUACAUAUAUAUAUAUAUAUAUAUAUAUAUAUAUAAACAAAACCCAGUACAGGAGUAUAUAUAAUUUUUAUUAUUUUUAAUCUCUGCAUAAAUUACCAAGUCACUCAAAGCCUGAGUUCUAUACACACACACAAAUAUAUACACAUACAUGUAUACACAAUUACAUAUGUAUGUAUAUACACAUACACAAAAAUAAACAUAUGUUUUCAUAUGUGAUAAUGUGUUUGCAAGAAAUGUAAUGGUAAAAAAUUUUGUUUUUAAUUAUGGUUUGUCUUUUAAUUGCUAGUCACAUAACAUCGUUUAUGUAAUACACUAAGGAGUGAGGAAUGGAGUGUAUAGGUCAGACAACUCAGGCAUGACAUCAACAUCUUAAGUGACAUAGGUGAACAUCUAAACAUGGCAGAGAUCAAUGUGUAUAUGAAGAUUUUAGAGAGCAUAGAGGUAGAUUUGGAAAUGGUAAGGAUACAAAUCACACAGCCACAGUGAAAGAGUAAUGUGACAAAGUCAAGGAACAUACCUGGAAUGUGAGAAGGGCUUUAAAAUUACUGUCUACUGAGAAGGAAUAUCGUAAAUGUUAGGUUUUGUUAGGAUGUCAUUCUUUUUCUAUAUUUCAGAAAUAAAAAAUGUAUUGAGUUUAUGCAUUAGUAAUUUAGCAGGUUUUUAUUUUUAAUUAAUUUUUGCAAUUGGUUAAUGUGACCAUUUAGCAUUCAGAUUAUUUUAUCAAACGUCAUUUUUAUUUAUUCACACUGUUUUGACUUAAUCAUGCAUUGUCUCGUAGGUUCAAAAUUUUGAUGAUGUGAUUGCAUACAAGAGGCUGGCUCUGGCUGGUUUCACUAUAAAAUAGGUAGAGUAUUUGAGCCGGAUAUGGCUGGUUUAAACAUUAAAGGGUUAAUAAGGCUUGGAGAAAGGCAAGUAGAAUCAGAUUGAAUACAUGGUAGUACUUUUGUUUGAAAAUCUAAUAAAAUUCAUUCCAGCAUGAUAAUUAAAGAAAAGAAAAUACUUAAUCUUUUGCCAGUUAGAGUUAAAGGUAAGAACAUACAUGUUUGUUAUAAACUAGGCUCUAUUACUGGUUGUUUAAUAUUUGUCCAAAAUAGGCCUGUGAGAUCUCACAGAGGUCUGUCUCAACAGUAUGGUUACACUAAGUCUGAUUUCUGCCACCAUGAAGCAGGACAUAUUUAUGCAGAUGAUUUGAAUGUCAUCUUAAAUGAUAACUUUAGAUGGCUAUUGACGGAGGAUAUCAAAUACAUGGAGCCUGGUGAGAUAAGCAGGAAUAAAUAGGUGGAGAUAAUCCUAGGAUCAGUUGAAGCUUUUGUGGUUAAUUAAGUCAUAAG